rnacentral:rRNA from 1 species
UACGUAGGUGACAAGCGUUGUCCGGAUUUACUGGGCGUAAAGAGCGCGCAGGCGGUUUUUCAAGUCAGUGGUGAAAGCCCGGAGCUCAACUCCGGAACUGCCAUUGAAACUGUGAAACUUGAGGAUGAGAGAGGUGAGUGGAAUUCCCAGUGUAGAGGUGAAAUUCGUAGAUAUUGGGAAGAACACCGGUGGCGAAGGCGGCUCACUGGCUCAUUUCUGACGCUCAGGCGCGACAGCGUGGGGAUCAAACAGG